rnacentral:lncRNA from 10 species
CCCCCUAAGACGAGGAGGAGGAGGAGGCAGGGGGAGCUCCGAGGGGCGGGCCUCAGCAGGGCGAGGUGGAGAUGUGCAGGUGGUCCGGGUACUUGAUGGCGGGAGGGUAGUUCUGCGUCAUUUGGAUGGACACGUCGCUGGAGAUGUCGGAGGGGCUCCGGCCGCGGCGCCACGCCUCGGGCUGCAGGAACUGGCCCGAGUAGUCGGAGCAGUCGCUGAGACGCGGGCGGUAGAAGGCCGGGUGUGGACGGUACAUCUCCUCCUCCGCGUAGCGCUUGGUGAACAGGUACACGGACAUCACGCCGGCCCCCUGCGGCAAGGCAAGGACCCAGGGGUUAGACCCUCAGCUACCACCUCCCUCUGACGCCAGAGUCUGC